rnacentral:rRNA from 1 species
AUUGAACGCUGGCGGCAUGCCUUACACAUGCAAGUCGAACGGUAACAGGUCUUCGGAUGCUGACGAGUGGCGAACGGGUGAGUAAUACAUCGGAACGUGCCCGAUCGUGGGGGAUAACGAAGCGAAAGCUUUGCUAAUACCGCAUACGAUCUACGGAUGAAAGCAGGGGACCGCAAGGCCUUGCGCGAACGGAGCGGCCGAUGGCAGAUUAGGUAGUUGGUGGGAUAAAAGCUUACCAAGCCGACGAUCUGUAGCUGGUCUGAGAGGACGAUCAGCCACACUGGGACUGAGACACGGCCCAGACUCCUACGGGAGGCAGCAGUGGGGAAUUUUGGACAAUGGGCGAAAGCCUGAUCCAGCCAUGCCGCGUGCAGGAUGAAGGCCUUCGGGUUGUAAACUGCUUUUGUACGGAACGAAAAGACUCUGGUUAAUACCUGGGGUCCAUGACGGUACCGUAAGAAUAAGCACCGGCUAACUACGUG